GCAAUAGGUAGGUACGCAUUUUCGAUCGAGAGUCAAUGGCGUGUAGUUCUUUGGAAUUUAAAAACAUAAAAACGUCAAAAUGGCAAAGAAAAAGAGCGACGAUAGAGUAAAUCCUAAUCCUCCUUGUGACAAUGAAGAACAAAAUUUCGACGAAGAACCAAAUUUUGAUGAUCCAGAGGGGUAUAUAGAUGAUAUAUCCGACGAAGAGUUGUUAGGUGACUUAUUAGCACAAAAACCAAAAGAAUCAGACGGUUAUGAAAACGUGAUAGUGGUGGAUGGUUGCCCGCAAGUCGGACCGGAGCGUCUGGAAAAGCUUCAAAGUGUUAUUACUAAAAUAUUUAGCAAGUUCGGAAAAAUUGUAAAUGAAUAUUAUCCAACAAAUGAAAAUGGCGUCACCAUCGGUUAUAUAUUUCUCGAGUACAGCAAUCCACAGAACGCUGCUGAAGCAGUACAGGCAACAAAUAAUUGUAAAUUAGACAAGCAACAUACAUUUUUAGUAAACCUUUUUACAGAUUUUCAAAAAUAUGCAGAAAUACCUAAGGAGUGGGAACCGCCAGCCCCUCAGCCUUUUAAGGUUCAGUCCGACCUACAGUGGUAUUUGAUGGAUCCUGAUGCAUAUGAUCAGUUUCUUGUGGGUAUUGGUACUGGUGUGGCACUGCAGGUGUGGCAAAAUGCACUCCCAGAACCUGUGAUGCUGCAGGAGAGGCCGAACUGGACGGAGACGUACGCAGUGUGGUCGCCGCUGGGCACGUACCUGGCCACGUUCCACUGGCGCGGCGUGGCACUAUGGUCCGGACCAAAGUUCGCCCAGUUUCAGAAGUUCUACCACCCCGAGGCACGCUUCAUCUCAUUCUCUCCCUGCGAGAAUUACAUCGUCACCUUCUCUCCCACCGCGGCUGCCACGCCGGAGAGGCCCGAAGACAAGAAACUCAUCAUAUGGGAUAUUAGGAGCGGGCAGGAGAAGCGCAGCUUUCCUCCGCCCGAGGAGUACGUGACAUGGCCGAUCUUCCGCUGGAGCAAGGACGACCGCUUCUUCGCGCGGCUCGGUACCGACAUGCUAUCCGUGUACGAGACGCCCGGCUUCGGGCUGCUCGACAAGAAGUCCAUCAAGAUCCCGGGCAUCAGAGACUUCGCGUGGUCGCCCACCGACACCGUGCUGGCUUACUGGGUGGCCGAGGAGAAGGACGUGCCCGCGCGGGUCACGCUGCUGGAGCUGCCCAACCGCACCGAGAUCCGCUCCAAGAACCUGUUCUCGGUGGCCGACUGCAAGAUCCACUGGCAGAAGAGCGGCGACUACUUGUGCGUCAAGGUGGACCGCUACUCCAAGCUCAGGAAGGACAAGACCGAGCUCAAGUACUCGGGCAUGUACUACAACUUUGAGAUCUUCCACAUGCGCGAGAAGCAGAUCCCCGUGGACAGCGUGGAGAUCAAGGAGCCUAUCCAGGCCUUCGCGUGGGAGCCGGUCGGCUCCAAGUUCGCCAUCAUCCACGGAGACAACUCGAACCAACAGAUCAGCUUCUAUCAGGUGAACACGGGGCAGGCGCCCUCGCUGGUGCGCAAGCUGAGCGGCUCGUACAACCACGUGUUCUGGUCGCCGGCCGGCCAGUUCGUGGUGCUCGCCAACUUCGGGCUGACGGGCGGUGCGCUCGAGUUCCUCGACACCAACGACUUCACCAUCAUGAACGUGGCCGACCACUACCAGAUGUCGGGCAUCGAGUGGGACCCCACCGGCCGCUACGUCGUGACCGGCGUGUCUUCGCUCAAGUGCAAGAUGGACUGUGGCUACUACAUCUGGUCCUUCCAGGGCAAGAUUCUGCGCCGCGUCAUGAAGGAGGGCUUCGCGCAGUUCCACUGGCGGCCGCGCCCGCCCACGCCGCUCACGGACAAGCAGCAGAAGGAGAUCAAGAAGAACCUCAAGAAGUACUACCCGCAGUUCGAGUCCAAGGACCGCAUGCGCAGCACCAAGGCGAGCAAGGUAACGUGUCCCCUGUGAGUGACGUGGUCAGCUCAGUACACGCCGCUCACGGACAAACAGCAGAAGGAGAUCAAGAAGAACUACCCGCAGUUCGAGUCCAAGGACCGCAUGCGCAGCACCAAGGCGAGCAAGGUAACGUGUGCCCUUUGAGUGAUGUGGUCAGGUCAGUACACUCCGCUCACGGGCAAGCAGCAGAAGGAGAUCAAGAAGUACUACCCGCAGUUUGAGUCCAAGGACCGCAUGCGCAGCACCAAGGCGAGCAAGGAGCUGGUGGCCAAGCGCACGGAGCAGAUGAAGAAGUACUCGGAGUACCGCGAGGCGCGCGCGGCUGCCUGGGGCGAGCAGCGCGCGCGCCGCCUGGAGCUGCGAGGCUACGUGGACACAGACGCGCGCGGCGCCGCCGGGGACGCCGUCGAGGAGACGGUCGAGUUCUUCGUCAAGGAGGAGGUCACCGUCAUCGACUGAGCGUCCGCCCGCGAUUAUCAAUAAACAAACAGCUUAUAUACAGA